UACUAAGUUUCAAGUUGAUUGGACUUCAACUUCAUCAAAAACUACCUCGACCAAAAACUUUAACCUGAAGCAGGACAUACGGACAGACGACGUAUACCAUAAUACGUCCCAGAUGGGCAUAUAAAAACAAAUCAGCCAUUUUUGCUUAUAAGCAUGAUAAUCAACACAUACAUGCCACUAGAACCAGAGUCGGAUUAAGGGGGGGGGGGAGGCCUGGCCCCCCUUUUCAGGAAAAAAUUUGGUUGCUUAUAUAGGGAAUGACUGGAGCGGGCCCACUCUUAGGCAGUCAGUGGGCCCCACUUAUGAAAAUUUCUAGAUCCGCCAGUGAGAACUUUCCUUCUCAGGAAUGUACAAACGUUUAGGACAAUUUGAACCAUUCUGUGAUAU
rnacentral:lncRNA from 1 species